rnacentral:rRNA from 1 species
GGCCUACGGGGGGCAGCAGUGAGGAAUAUUGGUCAAUGGGCGGGAGCCUGAACCAGCCAAGUCGCGUGAGGGAAGACGGUCCUAUGGAUUGUAAACCUCUUUAGGCGGGGAGCAAUGCCGGGCACGUGUGCCCGGAGGGAGAGUACCCGCAGAAUAAGCAUCGGCUAACUCCGUGCCAGCAGCCGCGGUAAUACGGAGGAUGCGAGCGUUAUCCGGAUUUAUUGGGUUUAAAGGGUGCGCAGGCGGGCUGUUAAGCCGGCGGGAAAAAUUCAGGGC